UACGUAGGGUGCGAGCGUUUAAUCGGAAUUACUGGGCGUAAAGCGUGCGCAGGCGGUCUGUUAAGACCGAUGUGAAAUCCCCGGGCUUAACCUGGGAACUGCAUUGGUGACUGGCAGGCUUUGAGUGUGGCAGAGGGAGGUAGAAUUCCACGUGUAGCAGUGAAAUGCGUAGAGAUGUGGAGGAAUACCGAUGGCGAAGGCAGCCUCCUGGGCCAACACUGACGCUCAUGCACGAAAGCGUGGGGAGCGAACAGGAUUAGAA
rnacentral:rRNA from 1 species